GAUGAACGCUGGCGGCAUGCUUUACACAUGCAAGUCGGACGGGAAGUGGUGUUUUUAGUGGCGGACGGGUGAGUCACGCGUAAGAAUAUGCCCUUGGGAGGGGAACAACAGCUGGAAAAGGACGCCAAUACACCGUAGGCUGUGGAGCGAAAGGAGGUGUCCGCCCAGGGAGGGGCUCGCGGCUGAUGAGCUUGUUGGUGGGGUAGUGGCUUACCAAGGCUGUGAUGGGUAGACGGUCCGAGAGGGUGAUCGGCCACAUUGGGACUGAGACAAGGCCCAGAAUAGUACGGGAGGCAGCAGUGGGGAAUAGUGCACAAUGGGCGGAAGCCUGAUGCAGCAACGCCGCGUGCGGGAUGAAGGCCUUCGUGUUGUAAACAGCUUUCGCCUGUGACGAAGCGUGAGUGACGGUAAUGGGUAAAGAAGCACCGGCUAACUACGUG
rnacentral:rRNA from 1 species